rnacentral:lncRNA from 13 species
AAUCACUGUGUGUGUCUCGAACACAGGUUGGGCUCCGCUCACCUUUGUGGUCCCAGUUCCUCACACCCACUGCCUAGGAAGAUGAUAGAAGAUGUUCCAGGAGAGAGGACCAGCCUGAGCAAACGGUGUCUGUGGCACAGGUGGGUGUCCCCUCUCAAAUCCUGGAUGCAGCCCAGGCCAAUGGCUGCACCUGUGCAGGACCCAACAGCGAUGUCUCAGCCCCUCUUCCUGCCCAACAUGGAAGAGCUUAGAAUGGGAUGAUGAAACCCCAGCUUUUACUGAGGUGAUGAAAAAGAAAGGGCCCUGCUCUUCUGGGGCUCGUGGCUGGUCCUUGGGCCCCACUGCUUUCUAUGCUUCUAUGGCUGUCUCCUCACCUGGCUGGGAGCUCCUCCCGACCACACCCGCAUCAUCUGUCAUACAUUUAUGUUCCCAAGGCUCAAGCCCAGGACUCAGCUGCCAAUAAGCAAUGGUGAUCCAGAACUCAAACGGGGCCGGGCACAGUGGCUCACGCCUGUAAUCCUAGCACUUUGGGAGGCUGAGGCAGGCAGAUCACUUGAGGUCAGGAGUCUGAGACCAGCCUGGGCAACAUGGUGACACCCCAUCUCUACAAAUAAAUAAAAAUGAAAUAAGUAAAAUAAAUAGAAG